AUUUGGCUCUUUAUUUUUAAUAAUAAAAAUUUAAAAUUUAUUAUUGCUACUGCAGGCUAUUGGUCUUUGUAUGCCAACUGCUUGUUGCUGCUUUAUUACAUGGAUGCCCCUAGUGGGGUUACUUCUAAUAAAAUAGCAUUCAUGAUAUAGUGGGAAAUGUAAGGUGUCUGAUUUGUUGUGAGAAGCUUAUUGAAUCAGGGACUGGUCCUGACCUAUUUUUAUGGGCGGUUUGUUACCAACCGGUACAAGAAGUCUAGCCCAUGAUGUCAUCACGGUAUAGCAAGUGGAUGCAAUGAUCAAAUAAGUAUUUGAUCUGUUGACCAGGGCAGAUGUCAUGGUCCAGUGGCUCAACAGGCUUAUCGCCAAAUGGGUUUUCAGGGAGCUGAACCAUUUUGGCUGCUGGUUCCAAUCCUGAUCAAGAUCACUCAAGAGUGGAAGAAGAAGCGUAUGAGGAGGCUGAAGAGAAAGCGUCGAAAGAUGAGGUAGAGAUCCAAGUAGAGAGUCUUGACAGACAAAUGGUGGGUCAGGUAUCUCUCCGACUAGACCCUCAUCAUCCUGCCAAUUUGUGGUUAGGUAGAGAUUUUUGCUUAUUCCCACUUACCUAUCAUUGGGUUUUGAGGAUACUCGAGGAGAUCUACCUAGAAACCAUAUGGUCUGUUUUUAGUUUCAUGUUUUGCAGUUUUAGAUUCAGACUUUGUACUGGUGUAGCUGGUCGAUCAGUUGUUGUUUGGACCCCUUAAAGAGAUUCUUGGAGUUAAUAUCACCUCUUGUGGGGUGGCUAUCUUUCUUUUUGAAGUUUGUUA